AGACUGUAGCCUUCUGGGGACAGGAGUUUUCCUUGCUAUGGAGAGAGAGAGAGAGAGAGACAGAGGCUUAUUAUCAGAGUUAUUACUAGAAGACCAGCUGAGGACACGGAGAGCAAAGACCUUGGGGUCCAGUCUUGUUUAUGCAACUUUAUGAAGGACAAAAUUCCUAAUCUUCAUGGAGCAAGGUGAAGAACAGAACUGAAGAUAAAGCUAAGACUCCCACUGAAGCUAUCAAGCAUGUUACCUUCACAAGGAAUGCAGACUCCUACUCAAAGUGAAUAUUUCUUGUUACAGACCAAGCCAGGGGAUGCAGAGGGAAUACUUACUGUUGCCUUUAAAAGUUAGUCAAGUUUUAAGUCUGUAAGCAAUAGCAUUGCAGUAGAAGAGAAAAGGUGUGCAAUAACGAGUAAGCCUCUGCAUAAGCAAGCCUACUCACUUCUCACUGUAUUUCUCAAAAAAAAAAAAAAAAAAAAAAAAAA